GUGUCAGCCGCCGCGGUAAUACGGGGGGAGCAAGCGUUGUUCGGAAUCACUGGGCGUAAAGGGCGUGUAGGCGGUUGAGUAAGUGGAAUGUGAAAUCCCUCGGCUUACCCGAGGACCUGCAUCCCAUACUGCUCGACUUGAGUACGGGAGAGGAUGAGGGAAUUCCUGGUGUAGCGGUGAAAUGCGUAGAUAUCAGGAGGAACACCGGUGGCGAAGGCGCUCAUCUGGCCCGAUACUGACGCUGAGGCGCGAAAGCUAGGGUAGCGAACGGGAUUAGAAACCCCAGUAGUCC
rnacentral:rRNA from 1 species